AUUGAACGCUGGCGGCAGGCCUAACACAUGCAAGUCGAGCGGAUGAAGGGAGCUUGCUCCUGGAUUCAGCGGCGGACGGGUGAGUAAUGCCUAGGAAUCUGCCUGGUGGUGGGGGAUAACGUCCGGAAACGGGCGCUAAUACCGCAUACGUCCUGAGGGAGAAAGUGGGGGAUCUUCGGACCUCACGCUAUCAGAUGAGCCUAGGUCGGAUUAGCUAGUUGGUGGGGUAAAGGCCUACCAAGGCGACGAUCCGUAACUGGUCUGAGAGGAUGAUCAGUCACACUGGAACUGAGACACGGUCCAGACUCCUACGGGAGGCAGCAGUGGGGAAUAUUGGACCAUGGGCGAAAGCCUGAUCCAGCCAUGCCGCGUGUGUGAAGAAGGUCUUCGGAUUGUAAAGCACUUUAAGUUGGGAGGAAGGGCAGUAAGUUAAUACCUUGCUGUUUUGACGUUACCAACAGAAUAAGCACCGGCUAACUUCGUG
rnacentral:rRNA from 1 species